ensembl:snRNA U1 U1 spliceosomal RNA
AUACUACCCUGGCGUGAGAUACCCUAAUAAAAUCGGGUUUCACCCAUAGUAGGCUCGUCUUGACUGAGGUUGUCUGACACGCGCGCUCCCCCAAAUGUAGGAAUCUCGAUUGCAUAAUUUCUGGUAGUGGGGGACUGCGUUCGCGCUCUCCCCUG